CUCAGGGCAGGGUGCAAUUCCCGACCGGCGGUAUACCCCGCGAGCCUUAUGGCUGAACCGGUUUGAUUCCGGUGGCGACAGUAAAGUCUGGAUGGAAGAGA
rnacentral:ncRNA from 1 species